AUUGAACGCUGGCGGCAGGCCUAACACAUGCAAGUCGAACGGUAACAGGGAUCCGCUUGCUGAUUCGCUGACGAGUGGCGGACGGUUGAGUAAUGUCUGGGAAACUGCCUGAUGGAGGGGGAUAACUACUGUAAACGGUAGCUAAUACUGCAUAACGUCGCAAGACCAAAGAGGGGGACCUUCUUGCCUCUUGCCAUCUGAUGUGCCCAGAUGGGAUUAGCUAGUAGGUGGGGUAACGGCUCACCUAGGCGACGAUCCCUAGCUGGUCUGAGAGGAUGACCAGCCACACUGGAACUGAGACACGGUCCAGACUCCUACGGGAGGCAGCAGUGGGGAAUAUUGCACAAUGGGCGCAAGCCUGAUGCAGCCAUGCCGCGUGUAUGAAGAAGGCCUUCGGGUUGUAAAGUACUUUCAGCGGGGAGGAAGGGAGUAAAGUUAAUACCUGUGCUCAUUGACGUUACCCGCAGAAGAAGCACCGGCUAACUCCGUG
rnacentral:rRNA from 1 species